GAGUACCAACAGCCUGAAGGCUUCAGCAAGAAAGCUUCUGUCUGCUGCAGUGGAGAGUCCACACGCCAAACUGAAUAUUCUGAGACUUAACAUCUGUGAACUCUCAGAGGAAAACUGUGAAGCUCUGUCCUCAGUCCUCAGCUCUCAGUCCUCUAGUCUGACAGAGCUGGACCUGAGUAUCAGAAAGCUGCAGGAUUCAGGAGUGAAGCUUCUGUCUGCUGGACUACAAAGUUUAAACUGUAAACUGAAUACUCUGAGACUGAGUGGCUGUAACCUGUC